AGAGUUUGAUCCUGGCUCAGAACGAACGCUGGCGGCGCGCUUAACACAUGCAAGUCGCACGGACGGGUUUCGGCCCGUCAGUGGCGCACGGGUGAGUAACGCGUGGGAACCUGCCCUGGUGUCUGGGACAACCGCGGGAAACUGCGGCUAAUACCGGAUGGUACCCUUCGGGGGAAAGGAGUGAUCCGCACUGGGAUGGGCCCGCGUCCGAUUAGCUAGUUGGUAGGGUAAUGGCCUACCAAGGCGACGAUCGGUAGCCGGCCUGAGAGGGUGAUCGGCCACACUGGAACUGAGACACGGUCCAGACUCCUACGGGAGGCAGCAGUGGGGAAUUUUGCGCAAUGGGCUAACGCCUGACGCAGCAACGCCGCGUGGAGGAUGAAGGUCUUUGGAUUGUAAACUCCUGUCAGCAGGGAAAAAGCGACCUGACCUCAUACGUCAGGGAGUUGAUUGUACCUGCAGAGGAAGCCCCGGCUAACUCUGUGCCAGCAGCCGCGGUAAUACAGAGGGGGCAAGCGUUAUUCGGAAUUAUUGGGCGUAAAGGGCGCGUAGGCGGCUUGGCAAGUGAAAGGUGAAAUCCCUCGGCUUAACCGAGGAACUGCCUUUCAGACUGCUUAGCUUGAGACCAGGAGAGGUGAGUGGAAUUCCCAGUGUAGCGGUGAAAUGCGUAGAUAUUGGGAGGAACACCAGUGGCGAAGGCGGCUCACUGGACUGGUACUGACGCUGAGGCGCGAAAGCGUGGGGAGCAAACGGGAUUAGAUACCCCCGUAGUCC
rnacentral:rRNA from 1 species